rnacentral:misc_RNA from 1 species
GAUCCCACACGCUCCAUGUAGACGUGAGCUGCGCAACGAGUGGGCAUCACGCGGUUGAUUCGACACCACAGAACACCUAUACACUGUGACACCAUCAAUCACCCUUGCCUCGUUGUGGGCUGCAAGUCCGUUGAUUGGCGACAGGGGAAGAUACGACACCAUGUGCCUGGAAAAAACAGCAGGCGCACCAAGGGGCUGCAGCGCAUCAGAUUGCCCGUAUCAGAUCGGCGGAGGGAUUUACGCGUAUGCGGUCGCCACUUUAAGCUGGAAGACUACGAACGCAAUUCCGUGCUUGUGCGGCGAUGUGAAGAGGCAUCCCCUCAAAUCCGACGCACUGCCGUCUUUGUUCCUUCCUGUUGAAAAGAAAUUACAGCCUUUUCCGCAUCACACACUGCCCCAGAAAAGUGUCGGAGAGUGUGGCACAGUCUUGGUACCUUCUGCUAGCCAGGCAACCACACAAAAAAACUCUGCACAAGGCAGCCAUGAGUACAGUGGUAACUCGGAAGACCAUGGAAUGCCGGUCCGUCGACAGCAGCUGCCUUCACCACAGAAUCCGCAGUACGGACACAGUGUGGUGCUUCAUCACAUGAGCAGCAGUAGCAGCUUCAGCCGAUGUUGCUUCAGUGCCACAGCUCCCAGAGGUUUCAGGACUCUCGGUGGGUCAACACCUGUGCGAAUGGAUGAAUCUUCUCCCGCUAAAAAAUCCAGCUGCUGAAACAUCUGUCCAAAUGGACGGAUCUUUCCCUGCUGAGGAAGAAAAGCCAGCUGCUCAAGUUGACAUCACAUGCUUGCCUUCAUGCAGCGAGAGUUUCUGCAGAGGGGGUGUGCGAGCAACUUCACAAGCUCCGGUGGAGAAGCCAGCCACUUGUUUGAGGGAGUGGGGCUGGAGUUGGCAACUUUCUCCUGGCUGCUGGCAUGCUGUACUAAAGCUGCGUGGUGGCUGCAACCUUCCAAUGUCUUGGUGCUCAAGUCAUCCCGGAGUGCAGCUUCUACAACUACCAGAGGGCCUACUUGCUCCCUACAGUAAAACAGGCUCUCUAUAGAAAGUAUGAUCAGGAAGCAAUAGGCUCAGUCAGCAUUCACAAUGGUUAUAAUACAUAAGGCCUCCAAGGGAUCUGGCCAAAGGAAGACCUGCGGACUCUGUGAUCUCAACUGGCACUGUAAGCUCCCGAGCAAAGUCGACAUUUCCUGAAGAUCAAAGUAUGUUGGACAGCUGAUGGUUCAAGGAGAAUGCCAAUAUCUGUCUUUUACAUUUUGCAAGCCAUUCUUGAACAUCCAAUUUCCAUCCAGAAGUGGCACGUACUUUCGUCGUCUGGCCAUGUUGUUCUUGAGAUGCCAAUAAAAUUACAAUGUGAUAAUUUGC